rfam:Asticcacaulis sp. YBE204 contig00004, whole genome shotgun sequence.
CAGUUGGGAGGCUCGCCGAUGCGAGCCGUUGGGGCCUAUUGCUCCUCCCGGCUG